rnacentral:rRNA from 1 species
AUACGGAGGAUCCGAGCGUUAUCCGGAUUUAUUGGGUUUAAAGGGUGCGCAGGCGGGAUGUUAAGUCGGCGGUGAAAUUUUGCAGCUCAACUGUAAAAGUGCCUUCGAUACUGGCUUUCUUGAGUGUGGAUGAAGUAGGCGGAAUUUGUGGUGUAGCGGUGAAAUGCUUAGAUAUCACGAGGAACUCCGAUUGCGCAGGCAGCUUACUAAACCACUACUGACGCUCAUGCACGAAGGCGUGGGGAUCAAACAGGAUUAGAUACCCUGGUAGUCCACGCAGUAAACGAUGAUUACUAGUUGUUUGCGAUACAAUGUAAGCGACUGAGCGAAAGCGUUAAGUAAUCCACCUGGGGAGUACGUUCGCAAGAAUGAAACUCAAAGGAAUUGACGGGG